UAGGGAAUCUUCGGCAAUGGGGGGAACCCUGACCGAGCAACGCCGCGUGAGUGAAGAAGGUUUUCGGAUCGUAAAGCUCUGUUGUUAAGGAAGAACGAGUGUGAGAAUGGAAAGUUCAUACUGUGACGGUACUUAACCAGAAAGGGACGGCUAACUACGUGCCAGCAGCCGCGGUAAUACGUAGGUCCCGAGCGUUGUCCGGAUUUAUUGGGCGUAAAGCGAGCGCAGGCGGUUAGAUAAGUCUGAAGUUAAAGGCAGUGGCUCAACCAUUGUAGGCUUUGGAAACUGUUUGACUUGAGUGCAGAAGGGGAGAGUGGAAUUCCAUGUGUAGCGGUGAAAUGCGUAGAUAUAUGGAGGAACACCAGUGGCGAAGGCGACUCUCUGGUCUGUAACUGACGCUGAGGCUCGAAAGCGUGGGUAGCAAACAGG
rnacentral:rRNA from 1 species